rnacentral:rRNA from 1 species
UACGUAGGGUGCGAGCGUUAAUCGGAAUUACUGGGCGUAAAGCGUGCGCAGGCGGUUUUGUAAGCCAGAUGUGAAAGCCCCAGGCUUAACCUGGGAAUGGCAUUUGGGACUGCAAGGCUUGAGUGCGGCAGAGGAGACUGGAAUUCCUGGUGUAGCAGUGAAAUGCGUAGAUAUCAGGAGGAAUACCGAUGGCGAAGGCAGGUCUCUGGGCUGACACUGACGCUGAGGUGCGAAAGCGUGGGGAGCAAACAGG